CCUACGGGUGGCUGCAGUGGGGAAUAUUGGACAAUGGGCGAAAGCCUGAUCCAGCCAUGCCGCGUGUGUGAAGAAGGCCUUCGGGUUGUAAAGCACUUUCAGUGGGGAAGAAAGCCUUGGGGCUAAUACCCUCGAGGAAGGACAUCACCCACAGAAGAAGCCCCGGCUAACUCCGUGCCAGCAGCCGCGGUAAUACGGAGGGUGCGAGCGUUAAUCGGAAUUACUGGGCGUAAAGCGCGCGUAGGCGGUCUGAUAAGCCGGUUGUGAAAGCCCCGGGCUCAACCUGGGAACGGCAUCCGGAACUGUCAGGCUAGAGUGCAGGAGAGGAAGGUAGAAUUCCCGGUGUAGCGGUGAAAUGCGUAGAGAUCGGGAGGAAUACCAGUGGCGAAGGCGGCCUUCUGGACUGACACUGACGCUGAGGUGCGAAAGCGUGGGUAGCAAACAGGAUUAGAUACCCCAGUAGUC
rnacentral:rRNA from 1 species